rnacentral:rRNA from 1 species
GUGAGGAAUAUUGGUCAAUGGGCGCAAGCCUGAACCAGCCAUGCCGCGUGCAGGAAGACGGUCCUAUGGAUUGUAAACUGCUUUUAUUUGGGAAUAAACUCCGGUACGUGUACCGGCCUGAAGGUACCAAAUGAAUAAGCACCGGCUAACUCCGUGCCAGCAGCCGCGGUAAUACGGAGGGUGCAAGCGUUAUCCGGAAUCAUUGGGUUUAAAGGGUCCGCAGGCGGUCUUAUAAGUCAGUGGUGAAAGCCUACAGCUCAACUGUAGAACUGCCAUUGAUACUGUAGGACUUGAAUUCGAUCGAAGUGGGCGGAAUGUGACAAGUAGCGGUGAAAUGCUUAGAUAUGUCACAGAACACCGAUAGCGAAGGCAGCUCACUAGGUCUGGAUUGACGCUCAGGGACGAAAGCGUGGGGAGCAAACAGGAUUAGAAACCCGGGUAGUCC